GAGGUCGUCAAUCCAUGUUGCAAUUGGAGGAGAAGAGAAUAAAGGCCACAAAUUUAUAGGAUAUGAUAUUUUGCUGUCGUGUAAGAAACAAAUUGGAGAUGUUGUUGAUGCCAUGCUGCUGGAGAUUUUCUACCACUCUGAUGUUGAUUGAUUCCAUCCGGUUGUCGGUUCAUUCACAGAACAUCUUAAUCUCAAGUUCUUUUUUUUCUGUGGAAUCCAGGAAUUUUCUUCUUUACUAAUUGUUGCAACACAACGCUCAUACAACCACGGCAACAACAACAACAACAACGAAGCUAUAAAGUCCCAACACAACACCUAACCAUAGGAAGUUGUAAGAUUGGGUAACUUUUCACCCUUAACAGUCACUGUACAAAUAAUUAAGGAAAAUAUGUAAGAUGACAUAGGUUUCAACCUCGCAUUGUUUAUGGAAAGUCCUCACACUUUCUAGUAAGUGUUUUCAUUAUAUUGACUAGUAAAUGUGAAUUACAAGCUUAAUCAUUUAUAUUCUAAAAGAACGAUUCAUUGAGAAAAGUUAUGGGAUCAGCACUCAUCAGCCCAUUUGCAUAAUGUUCCAUGUACUGAAGAUGGGGAAUAAGAGAACCAGCCAUUGGAGACCUGAGGCUCAAAUUUGUAUAAUUGAUUAAUUAAUUAAUUAUAUAGAUGAUUUAGUAUGCCAGAAGAUUAAAAUUGGGGAUUUUAUUUCUUUCUUUAGUUCUCGAUGCUUUUUGGGUAAUCAAAUUUUCCAUUGCCCUAGCACUUUAUUAGAGGAAAUACACACAAAAAAAAAAAAGGAGUAUACAACAUUUGCACUUGAAAGAUAUAAUCUUCAACCAUAAAUGUAUUGUAUACCACUUUCUUAUUGGAAACCUAGUGGAAAGUGAUACUUGGAUAUUUCCUAAAUGUGAACUAAAUACUUGGUUUAAGAAUUGCUUAUCGUCAACAUUAAACAUUUGGAUAUAUUUGGGGACAGACAAUUCAUGGGAAGGUGUUUCACUCACGGGCAUCGACCUACGAGUUGGAUGAUUGUGAGUGUAUGGUGCAUCAAAUGGUAAAGAAGGUUUUCAGUGAUGCCAGAUUUGUUACAUCUAACAACAUCUGAAUGUGUGAACUGUGAACACAUGUAGCGAAAAAUUAUUUUUGGAUGAACAAGGACACGUGCAUUCAAAUUGAUAUUUUUUUAUCGUCUCAUAAUGUGGAACUAUAAUUUCUUUUUUUGCUGUCACUUUUUGCUGCUAUGUCCAUGCUUAUGGUAUUGUGUGGUGCAAGGCAAUAGUCUUGAAGACACAAGCAUAAUUAGGAUUCUUUUAUGUAGGUUGGUCAGUUCAUCAAAUGUCUGGUCGAGGCAAGAAAUGAAUUGCGGCACAAGUAUGUCGUCACUUUACAGGUCUGAGAUUGUUCAAAGGAGUUUUAAAAUAAAGAAGGCAUUACUAUACAAAGUCGACAGAUCUUCUUUUGAUUGUCUUUGCCAACAGUUAUACAAGAAAUUUUUGGUUGACCACAAGCAGCUAGUAUUUUUCUUCUGCACGUCCAGUAGGAUGGAUCUUUCUGUGCCUGCAGAUCUUCAAACUAUGGACCGUACACAGGAUAUGAGAGUAAGAUGCAACUGUUCAUAAUCUACUUCAAGACCAACUCAACCUCUCACCUGCUUAUAUGCUUCGAGGUUAGCCCAAGCAUGGAGCAGAAGGCUGAACCAGACGAGUCUGCAGAACUUCCUGAUAUCUCAUUCGAGGAGUCAUUAGCUGACGAAAAGAAGGAUUUGUUUCGGCAAAGAAAUCGCAAGCUAAGAUCAUUUGCGAGAUGAGAGGCCAUACAUCUGUGGUGUGCAAUUGCUGCUGCCCAUAGAGGUUGUUUCACCAUAGCAUGACUUUUCCUUUUUCCCCUGGGCUGUACAUCUUGAGAAAUCUUUCUCCAGUUUGUUACUUUCACUUCCUGAAAGCUUUACACUGCAGUUAAGGAUAGAGAAGAUACAAAUUGCCUAUCUUAUCUGAUAGUUUCUUCC